rnacentral:rRNA from 1 species
CCUACGGGAGGCAGCAGUGAGGAAUAUUGGUCAAUGGACGAGAGUCUGAACCAGCCAAGUAGCGUGAAGGAUGACUGCCCUAUGGGUUGUAAACUUCUUUUAUAUGGGAAUAAAAUGUUCCACGUGUGGGAUUUUGUAUGUACCAUAUGAAUAAGGAUCGGCUAACUCCGUGCCAGCCGCCGUGGUAAUACGGAGGAUCCGAGCGUUAGCAGGAUUUAUUGGGUUAAAAGGGAGCGUAGGUGGAUUGUUAAGUCAGUUGUGAAAGUUUGCGGCUCAACCGUAAAAUUGCAGUUGAAACUGGCAGUCUUGAGUACAGUAGAGGUGGGCGGAAUUCGUGGUGUAGCGGUGAAAUGCUUAGAUAUCACGAAGAACUCCGAUUGCGAAGGCAGCUCACUGGACUGCAACUGACACUGAGGCUCGAAAGUGUGGGUAUCAAACAGGAUUAGAUACCCGAGUAGUC